rnacentral:rRNA from 1 species
UACGAAGGGGGCUAGCGUUGCUCGGAAUCACUGGGCGUAAAGGGUGCGUAGGCGGGUCUUUAAGUCAGGGGUGAAAUCCUGGAGCUCAACUCCAGAACUGCCUUUGAUACUGAAGAUCUUGAGUUCGGGAGAGGUGAGUGGAACUGCGAGUGUAGAGGUGAAAUUCGUAGAUAUUCGCAAGAACACCGGUGGCGAAGGCGGCGACCUGGGUCGACACUGACGCUGAGGCGCGAAAGCGUGGGGAGCAAACAGG